GCCUGGUGUGGCAACGCACACCUGUAGUCCUAGCUACUUGGGAGGCCGAGAUGGGAGGAUCAUUUGAGCCCAGGAGUUCAAGGUUGCAGUGAGCUGUGAUGCUACCACUGCACUUCAGCCUGGGCUGUAGAGUGAGACCCUGUCUCAA
ensembl:misc_RNA Metazoa_SRP Metazoan signal recognition particle RNA